rnacentral:ribozyme from 1 species
UGCCCAGCAACUCCUAUCCCUACCUCCUCGUGGUACUGGCCGGGGUACGAGUAACCUUGGGGAAGAUCGGGUAACCAACCCCCGGAGGAAACUUUGGUCGUAUGCUGACAGGGAAGA